CCUACGGGUGGCAGCAGUGAGGAAUAUUGGUCGAUGGACGCAAGUCUGAACCAGCCAUGCCGCGUGCAGGAAGACGGCUCUAUGAGGUGUAAACUGCUUUUGUACGAGGGUAAACGCAGAUACGCGUAUCUGUCUGAAAGUAACGUACGAAUAAGGAUCGGAUAACGCCGUGCCAGCAGCCGCGGUAAUACGGAGGAUUCAAGCGUUAUCCGGAUUUAUUGGGGUUAAAGGGUGCGUAGGCGGUCGGAUAAGUUAGAGGUGAAAUCCCGAGGCUCAACUUCGGAAUUGCCUCUGUUACUGUUCGGCUCGCGUGUAGUUGCGGUAGGCGGAAUGUCUGGUGUAGCGGU
rnacentral:rRNA from 1 species